rnacentral:rRNA from 1 species
UGGGGGAUAACGUCCGGAAACGGGCGCUAAUACCGCAUACGCCCCGAGGGAGAAAGUGGGGGAUCUUCGGACCUCACGCUAUCAGAUGAGCCUAGGUCGGAUUAGCUAGUUGGUGGGGUAAAGGCCUACCAAGGCGACGAUCCCUAACUGGUCUGAGAGGAUGAUCAGUCACACUGGAACUGAGACACGGUCCAGACUCCUACGGGAGGCAGCAGUGGGGAAUAUUGGACAAUGGGCGAAAGCCUGAUCCAGCCAUGCCGCGUGUGUGAAGAAGGUCUUCGGAUUGUAAAGCACUUUAAGUUGGGAGGAAGGGCAGUAAGUUAAUACCUUGCUGUUUUGACGUUACCAACAGAAUAAGCACCGGCUAACUUCGUGCCAGCAGCCGCGGUAAUACGAAGGGUGCAAGCGUUAAUCGGAAUUACUGGGCGUAAA